AAUGCGUAUCAAUGCCUAAAAUCGCUCAAUUCCGCUGAAAUACAACGUUGAGUCUAGAAAAGAAAGUUCAACGAAGCUCAACAAAUAAAUUAGAGAUAUUUGAAGCUCUUACUCUGAAAAAUAGAAAAUAAAGGCGCGCAGGUUGUUAGAGCUUUAAAGUCAUUCAAUUUUCUGCUUAGCAUCAAAAUAAUGGGAAAAAAAAUAUUAGAAUAUAAAAUAAGAUUGAAAAAAGUACAAAGGAACAAAAACCAAUCAAUUUCUAACACGCAAAUACCGAACAAAUAGAGAAAGCAUGCAACAUAUGUUGAGUGUCAAUGGUGUUAUUAAGGCUUAGGCACGGCAUAUAUCACUUAACACAUCACGUGCUCUAAUUGCGCGCAGAUUUAAAUAAAUUGAAUUUCGUUUUAACGCUUACGCUUUUCUAUUUUGCGUUGAGGCAAUGGCGCUGGUGUUAUUUUGGUGAAAAGCAAAGCACACUGUUAGGCGCCAAAAGGCUAUAAAAGCAGCGCGUGUGUGCAAUCACAUACAUAUUUAAUGCGCGAUUUUGUGAUGGGCGAGAGAGAAGACCAAUCAAUAUUGAAAUGAAUUUGUAUGUAAAAUUGUUCUUGAUGUGUUGAGCUUACGUUGUGGUUCUGUGUAUGUGUGCGUGUAUGUGUCUAAAGUGCAAGAAAAAAGACCUUGAUGUUAAUCAAAGAAAAACUCUGGAGAAUUACACAAAGCAGACGAAAGUAAUGGAAAACAUUGAACUGAUAUACCAGCAAAGGCAUAAGAACCUCCUCCUUUCAUUCAUUCACCACCAAGCAUCCGAAAACCAGCAUCGAGACGCGCUAAAUUGCACUGUAUAGCGAAUGAGGAGAACCAUUUUAGCACUUCCUUUGUGGCAAUGUUAAAUAUGAAACUGUUGAAAUGUUCAAAUCAAUGGAAUUGCAGAUAAAAUUUGUAUCCUUUUUAGUCGAGAAACGAAAAUAACAGCAUAUAGAAGUUGUAAAAAGAACAAGCUCACAACCAGAAAAAAAAGCCGAGAGCAACCAACAAUAGAAGAACUGAAAAUGCCUUAUAAGGGUGCGCCUUACUUACAGAGAAUUUUCAAAAUUCAUUUCAUCAAAAAAAUGUCUAUUUUUAUUAAA